ensembl:lncRNA
UCCUCUGCGCAAAUCCCCCAUUUAACUCGAAAAUGACGCGUUUUCUCUUUGCAAAUCCCCCAUUUAAGCGAAAAUCACGCGUUUUCUCUUCGCAAAUCCCCCAUUUAACUCGAAAAUGACGCGUUUUCUCUUCGCAAAUCCCCCAUUUAACUCAAAAAAUGACGCGUUUUUCUCUUCACAAAUCCCCCAUUUAACCAAUAAUCACGUGUUUUCUCUUCGAGAAUCCCUUUUCUAACCAGAAAAUCACGCAUUUUCUCUUCGAGAAUCCCCCAUUUAACCGAAAAUCACUCGUUUUCUCUUCGAGAAUCCCCAUUUAACCAAAAAUCACGCGUCUUCUCUUUGGAAAUUGCCCAUUUAAGCGAAAAUCAUGCAUUUUCUUUUCGAGAAUCCCGCUUUUAACCUGAAAAUAACACGUUUUCUCUUCGCGAAUCCCCCAUUUAACCCGAAAAUCACGCGUUUUCUCUUCCCAAAUCCCCCAUUUAAGCGAAAAUCACGCGUUUUCUCUUCACAAAUCCCACAUUUAACCCGAAAAUGACUCAUUUUCUAUUCACAAAUCCCCCAUUUAAGCGAAAAUCACGCAUUUUCUCUUCGGAAUCCCCCAUUUAACCCGAAAAUCACGCGUUUUCUCUUCGAGAAUCCCCAUUUAACCCGAAAAUCACGCGUUUUCUCUUCGCAAAUCCCCAUUUAAGCGAAAAUCACGCGUUUUCUCUUCGCAAAUCCCCCAUUUAAGCGAAAAUCACGCGUUUUCUCUUCGCAAAUCCCCCAUUUAACGAAAAUCACGCGUUUUCUCUUCGAGAAUCCCCCAUUUAACCGAAAAUCACGCGUUUUCUCUUCGAGAAUCCCCCAUUUAACCGAAAAUCACGCGUUUUCUCUUCGCAAAUCCCCCAUUUAAGCCGAAAAUCACGCGUUUUCUCUUCGCAAAUCCCCCAUUUAAGCGAAAAUCACGCGUUUUCUCUUCGCAAAUCCCCCAUUUAACUCGAAAAUCACGCGUUUUCUCUUCGCAAAUCCCCCAUUUAAGCGAAAAUCACGCGUUUUCUCUUCGCAAAUCCCCCAUUUAACUCGAAAAUCACGCGUUUUCUCUUCGCAAAUCCCCCAUUUAAGCGAAAAUCACGCGUUUUCCUCUCGCAAAUCCCCCAUUUAACCGAAAAUCACGCGUUUUCUCUUCGCAAAUCCCCCAUUUAACCGAAAAUCGCGUUUUCUCUUCGCAAAUCCCUCAUUUAAGCGAAAAUCACGCGUUUUCUCUUCGCAAAUCCCCCAUUUAACCGAAAAUCACGUGUUUUCUCUUCGCAAAUCCCCCAUUUAACCCGAAAAUCACGCGUUUUCUCUUCGCAAAUCCCCCAUUUAACGCGAAAAUCACGCGUUUUCUCUUCGCAAAUCCCCCAUUUAAGCGAAAAUCACGCGUUUUCUCUUCGCAAAUCCCCCAUUUAACUCGAAAAUCACGCGUUUUCUCUUCGAAAUCCCCCAUUUAACGCGAAAAUCACGCGUUUCUCCUUCGCAAAUCCCCAUUUAACCCGAAAAUCACGCGUUUUCUCUUCGAAAUCCCCCAUUUAAGCCAAAAUCACGCGUUUUCUCUUCGAGAAUCCCCCAUUUAAGCGAAAAUCACGCGUUUUCUCUUCGCAAAUCCCCCAUUUAAGCGAAAAUCACUGCGUUUUCUCUUCGAAUCCCCAUUUAACCCGAAAAUCACGCGUUUUCUCUUCGCAAAUCCCCCAUUUAAGCCAAAAUCACGCGUUUUUCUCUUCGAGCAAUCCCCCAUUUAAGCGAAAAAUCACGCGUUUUCUCUUCGCAGAAUCCCCCAUUUAACCUGAAAAUCACGCGUUUUCUCUUCGAGAAUCCCCCAUUUAACCGAAAAUCACGCGGUUUUCCUCUUCGCAAAUCCCCCAUUUAAGCGAAAAUCACGCGUUUUCCUCUUCGCAAAUCCCCCAUUUAAGCCGAAAAUCACGCUGUUUUCUCUUCGCAAAUCCCCCAUUUAAGCGAAAAUCACGCGUUUUCUCUUCGAGAAUCCCCCAUUUAAGCGAAAAUCACGCGUUUUUCUCUUCGCAAAUCCCCCAUUUAAGCUGAAAAUCACGCGUUUUCUCUUCGCAAAUCCCCAUUUAAGCGAAAAUCACGCGUUUUCUCUUCGCAGAAUCCCCCAUUUAAGCGAAAAUCACGCGUUUUCUCUUCGCAAAUCCCCCAUUUAACGCGAAAAUCACGCGUUUUCUCUUCGCAAAUCCCCCAUUUAAGCGAAAAUCACGCGUUUUCUCUUCGCAGAAUCCCCCAUUUAACGAAAAAUCACGCGUUUUCUCUUCGCAAAUCCCCCAUUUAAGCGAAAAUCACGCGUUUUCUCUUCGCAAAUCCCCCAUUUAACCGAAAAUCACGCGUUUUCUCUUCGAAAUCCCCCAUUUAAGCGAAAAUCACGCGUUUUCUCUUCGCAAAUCCCCCAUUUAACGAAAAUCACGCGUUUUCUCUUUCGCAAAUCCCCCAUUUAAGCCGAAAAUCACGCGUUUUCUCUUCGCAAAUCCCCCAUUUAAGCGAAAAUCACGCGUUUUCUCUUCGAGAAUCCCCCAUUUAAGCCGAAAAUCACGCGUUUUCUCUUCGCAAAUCCCCCAUUUAACCCGAAAAUCACGCGUUUUCUCUUCGCAAUCCCCAUUUAAGCGAAAAUCACUGCGUUUUCUCUUCGCAAAUCCCCCAUUUAAGCGAAAAUCACGCGUUUUCUAUUCACAAAUCCCCCAUUUAAGCGAAAAUCACGCAGUUUUCUCUUCGGAAAUCCCCCAUUGAAGCGAAAAUCACGCAUUUUCUCUUCGAGAAUCCCCCAUUUAACCCGAAAAUCACGCGUUUUCUCUUCGAGAUUCCCCAUUUAAGCCGAAAAUCACGCGUUUUCUCUUUGCAAAUCCACCUUUUAACCGAAAAUCACGUUUCUUUUUGAGAAUCCCCCAUUUAAGCGAAAAUCACGCGUUUUCCUCUUCGCUAAUACCCCAUUUAACUAAAAUCACGCGUUUUCUCAUCAAGAAUCCCCCAUUUAAGCGAAAAUCAGGUAUUUUCGCUUCGCAAAUCCCCCAUUUAAGCGAAAAUCAUGUGUUUUCUCUUCGAGAAUCCCCCAUUUAACCCGAAAAUCACGCGUUUUCUCUUCGCAAAUCCCCCAUUUAAGCAAAAAUCACGCAUUUUCUCCUCGAGAAUCCCCCAUUUAACUUAAAAAUCACGCGUUUUCUCUUCGCAAAUCCCCCAUUUAAGCAAAAAUCACGCGUUUUCUCUUCGAGAAUCCCCCAUUUAACCCGAAAAUCACGCGUUUUCUCUUCGCAAAUCCCCCAUUUAACCCGAAAAAUCACGCGUUUUCUCUUCGCAAAUCCCCCAUUUAAGCAAAAAUCACGCGUUUUUCUCGUCGCAAAUCCCCCAUUUAAGCAAAAAUCACGCGUUUUCUCUUCGCAAAUCCCCCAUUUAACCCGAAAAUCACACGUUUUCUCUUUGCAAAUCCCCCAUUUAAGCGAAAAUCACGCGUUUUCCUCUUCGCAUAUCUUCCCAUUUAAGCGAAAAUCACGCGUUUUCUCUUCGAGAAUCCCCCAUUUAAGCGAAAAUCACGCAGUUUUCUCUUCGCACAUCCCCCAUUUAACCCGAAAAUCACGCGUUUUCUCUUCGCAAAUCCCCCAUUUAACUGAAAAUCACGCGUUUUCUCUUCGCAAAUCCCCCAUUUAAGUGAAAAUCACGCAUUUUCCUCUUCGCAAAUCCCCCAUUUAAGCGAAAAUCACGCGUUUUCUCUUCGCAAAUCCCCCAUUUAACCCGAAAAUCACGCGUUUUCUCUUCGCAAAUCCCCCAUUUAAGCAAAAAUCACGCGUUUUCUCUUCGCAAAUCCCCAUUUAACCCGAAAAUCACGCGUUUUCUCUUCACAAAUCCCCCAUUUAAGCGAAAAUCACGCGUUUUCUCUUCGCAAAUCCCCCAUUUAAGCGAAAAUCACGCAGUUUUCUCCUCGAGAAUCCCCCAUUUAACUUGAAAAUCACGCGUUUUCUCUUCGCAAAUCCCCCAUUUAAGCGAAAAUCACGCGUUUUCUCUUCGAGAAUCCCCCAUUUAACCCGAAAAUCACGCGUUUUCUCUUCGCAAAUCCCCCAUUUAACCCGAAAAUCACGCGUUUUCUCUUCGCAAAUCCCCCAUUUAAGCAAAAAUCACGCGUUUUCUCUUCGCAAAUCCCCCAUUUAAGCGAAAAUCACGCGUUUUCCUCUUCGCAAAUCCCCCAUUUAAGCCGAAAAUCACAGCGUUUUCUCUUCGCAAAUCCCCCAUUUAAGCGAAAAUCACGCGUUUUCUCUUCGCAUAAUCUCCCCAUUUAAGCGAAAAUCACGCGUUUUCUCUUCGAGAAUCCCCCAUUUAAGCGAAAAUCACGCGUUUUCUCUUCGCAAAUCCCCCAUUUAACCGAAAAUCACGCGUUUUCUCUUCGCAAAUCCCCCAUUUAAGCUGAAAAUCACGCGUUUUCUCUUCGCAAAUCCCCCAUUUAACCAAAAAUCACGCAUUUUCUCUUCGAGAAUCCCCCAUUUAACCGAAAAUCACGCGUUUUCUCUUUGCAAAUUCCCCAUUUAAGCAAAAAUCACGUGUUUUCUCUUCGAGAAUCCCCCAUUUAAGCGAAAAUCACGCGUUUUCUCUUCGUAAAUCCCCCAUUUAACUUGAAAAUCAAGCGUUUUCUCUUCGCAAAUCCCCCAUUUAACCCGAAAAUCACGCGUUUUCUCUUCGCAAAUCCCCCAUUUAAGCGAAAAUCACACGUUUUCUCUUCACAAAUCCCCCAUUUAAGCAAAAAUCACGCGUUUUCUCUUCGCAAAUCCCCCAUUUAACCCGAAAAUCACGCGUUUUCUCUUCGAGAAUCCCCCAUUUAAGUGAAAAUCACGCGUUUUCUCUUCGCAAAUCCCCCAUUUAACCGAAAAUCACGCGUUUUCUCUUCGAGAAUCCCCCAUUGAACCCGAAAAACACACGUUUUCUCUUCGCAAAUCCCCCAUUUAAGCAAAAAUCACGCGUUUUCUCUUCGCAAAUCCCCCAUUUAACCGAAAAUCACGCGUUUUCUCUUCGCAAAUCCCCCAUUUAAGCGAAAAUCAUGCGUUUUCUCUUCGCAAAUCCCCCAUUUAAGCCGAAAAUAACGCGUUUUCUCUUCGAGAAUCCCCCAUUUAACCCAAAAAUCAUGCGUUUUCUCUUCGAGAAUCCCCCAUUUAAGCGAAAAUCACGCGUUUUCUCUUCGCAAAUCCCCCAUUUAACCCGAAAAUCACGCGUUUCCUCUUUAGAAUCCCCACUUUAACUUAAAAAUCACGCAUUUUCUCUUCGCAAAUCCCCCAUUUAAGCAAAAAUCACGCGUUUUCUCUUCGAGAAUUUUCCAUUUAAGGGAAAAUCACGCAUUUUCUCUUUGCAAAUCUCCCAUUUAAGCGAAAAUCACGCGUUUUCUCUUCGCAAAUCCCCCAUUUAACCCGAAAAUCACGCGUUUUCUCUUCGCAAAUCCCCCAUUUAAGCGAAAAAUCACGCGUUUUCUCUUCGCAAAUCCCCCAUUUAAGCGAAAAUCACGCGUUUUCUCUUCGCAAAUCCCCCAUUUAAGCGAACAUCACGCGUUUUCUCUUCGCAAAUCCCCCAUUUAACCCGAAAAUCACGCGUUUUCUCUUCGCAAAUCCCCCAUUUAACCCGAAAAUCAAGCGUUUUCUCUUUGCAAAUCCCCCAUUUAACCCGAAAAUCACGCGUUUUCUCGUCGCAAAUCCCCCAUUUAAGCAAAAAUCACGCGUUUUCUCUUCGCAAAUCCCCCAUGUUACCCGAAAAUCACGCGUUUUCUCUUCGAGAAUCCCCCAUUUAAGUGAAAAUCACGCGUUUUCUCUUCGCAAAUCCCCCAUUUAAGCAAAAAUCACGCGUUUUCUCUUCGAGAAUCCCCCAUUGAACCCGAAAAACACACGUUUUCUCUUCGCAAAUCCCCCAUUUAAGCAAAAAUCACGUGUUUUCUCUUCGCAAAUCCCCCAUUUAACCGAAAAUCACGCGUUUUCUCUUCGCAAAUCCCCCAUUUAAGCGAAAAUCACGCGUUUUCUCUUCGCAAAUCCCCCAUUUAAGCGAAAAUCACGCGUUUUCUCUUCACAAAUCCCCCAUUUAAGCAAAAAUCACGCGUUUUCUCUUCGCAAAUCCCCCAUUUAAGCGAAAAUCACGCGUUUUCUCUUCGAGAAUCCCCCAUUUAAGUGAAAAUCACGCGUUUUCUCUUCGCAAAUCCCCCAUUUAACCCGAAAAUCACGCGUUUUCUCUUCGAGAAUCCCCCAUUGAACCCGAAAAACACGCGUUUUCUCUUCGAGAAUCCCCCAUUUAAGCAAAAAUCACGCGUUUUCUCUUCGCAAAUCCCCCAUUUAAGCGAAAAUCACGCGUUUUCUCUUCGCAAAUCCCCCAUUUAAGCGAAAAUCAUGCGUUUUCUCUUCGCAAAUCCCCCAUUUAAGCCGAAAAUAACGCGUUUUCUCUUCGAGAAUCCCCCAUUUAACCCAAAAAUCAUGCGUUUUCUCUUCGAGAAUCCCCCAUUUAAGCGAAAAUCACGCGUUUUCUCUUCGCAAAUCCCCCAUUUAACCCGAAAAUCACGCGUUUCCUCUUUAGAAUCCCCACUUUAACUUAAAAAUCACGCAUUUUCUCUUCGCAAAUCCCCCAUUUAAGCAAAAAUCACGCGUUUUCUCUUCGAGAAUUUUCCAUUUAAGGGAAAAUCACGCAUUUUCUCUUUGCAAAUCUCCCAUUUAAGCGAAAAUCACGCGUUUUCUCUUCGCAAAUCCCCCAUUUAACCCGAAAAUCACGCGUUUUCUCUUCGCAAAUCCCCCAUUUAAGCGAAAAAUCACGCGUUUUCUCUUCGCAAAUCCACCAUUUAAGCGAAAAUCACGCGUUUUCUCUUCGCAAAUCCCCCAUUUAAGCGAACAUCACGCGUUUUCUCUUCGCAAAUCCCCCAUUUAACCCGAAAAUCACGCGUUUUCUCUUCGCAAAUCCCCCAUUUAACCCGAAAAUCACGCGUUUUCUCUUCGCAAAUCCCCCAUUUAAGCAAAAUCACGCGUUUUCUCUUCGCAAAUCCCCCAUUUAAGCAAAAAUCACGCGUUUUCUCUUCGCAAAUCCCCCAUUUUACCCGAAAAUCACGCGUUUUCUCUUCGAGAAUCCCCCAUUUAAGUGAAAAUCACGCGUUUUCUCUUCGCAAAUCCCCCAUUUAACCCGAAAAUCACGCGUUUUCUCUUCGAGAAUCCCCCAUUUAAGCCGAAAAUCACACGUUUUCUCUUCGCAAAUCCCCCAUUUAAGCGAAAAUCACGCGUUUUCUCUUCGCAAAUCCCCCAUUUAAGCGAAAAUCACGCGUUUUCUCUUCGCAAAUCCCCCAUUUAAGCGAAAAUCAUGCGUUUUCUCUUCGCAAAUCCCCCAUUUAAGCCGAAAAUAACGCGUUUUCUCUUCGAGAAUCCCCCAUUUAACCCAAAAAUCAUGCGUUUUCUCUUCGAGAAUCCCCCAUUUAAGCGAAAAUCACGCGUUUUCUCUUCGCAAAUCCCCCAUUUAACCCGAAAAUCACGCGUUUCCUCUUUAGAAUCCCCACUUUAACUUAAAAAUCACGCAUUUUCUCUUCGCAAAUCCCCCAUUUAAGCAAAAAUCACGCGUUUUCUUUUCGCAAAUCCCCCAUUUAACCCGAAAAUCACGCGUUUUCUCUUCGAGAAUUUUCCAUUUAAGGGAAAAUCACGCAUUUUCUCUUUGCAAAUCUCCCAUUUAAGCGAAAAUCACACGUUUUCUCUUCGCAAAUCCCCCAUUUAAGCGAAAAUCACGCGUUUUCUCUUCGCAAAUCCCCCAUUUAAGCGAAAAAUCACGCGUAUUCUCUUCGCAAAUCCCCCAUUUUAGCGAAAAUCACGCGUUUUCUCUUCGCAAAUCCCCCAUUUAAGCGAACAUCACGCGUUUUCUCUUCGCAAAUCCCCCAUUUAACCCGAAAAUCACGCGUUUUCUCUUCGCAAAUCCCCCAUUUAACCCGAAAAUCAAGCGUUUUCUCUUCGCAAAUCCCCCAUUUAACCCGAAAAUCACGCGUUUUCUCUUCGCAAAUCCCCCAUUUAAGCAAAAAUCACGCGUUUUCUCGUCGCAAAUCCCCCAUUUAAGCAAAAAUCACGCGUUUUCUCUUCGCAAAUCCCCCAUGUUACCCGAAAAUCACGCGUUUUCUCUUCGAGAAUCCCCCAUUUAAGUGAAAAUCACGCGUUUUCUCUUCGCAAAUCCCCCAUUUAACCCGAAAAUCACGCGUUUUCUCUUCGAGAAUCCCCCAUUGAACCCGAAAAACACACGUUUUCUCUUCGCAAAUCCCCCAUUUAAGCAAAAAUCACGCGUUUUCUCUUCGCAAAUCCCCCAUUUAACCAAAAAUCACGCGUUUUCUCUUCGCAAAUCCCCCAUUUAAGCGAAAAUCAUGCGUUUUCUCUUCGCAAAUCCCCCAUUUAAGCCGAAAAUCACGCGUUUUCUCUUCGAGAAUCCCCCAUUUAACCCAAAAAUCAUGCGUUUUCUCUUCGAGAAUCCCCCAUUUAAGCGAAAAUCACGCGUUUUCUCUUCGCAAAUCCCCCAUUUAACCCGAAAAUCACGCGUUUCCUCUUUAGAAUCCCCACUUUAACUUAAAAAUCACGCAUUUUCUCUUCGCAAAUCCCCCAUUUAAGCAAAAAUCACGCGUUUUCUCUUCGCAAAUCCCCCAUUUAAGCAAAAAUCACGCGUUUUCUCUUCGAGAAUUUUCCAUUUAACCCGAAAAUCACGCAUUUUCUCUUUGCAAAUCUCCCAUUUAAGCGAAAAUCACACGUUUUCUCUUCGCAAAUCCCCCAUUUAAGCGAAAAAUCACGCGUAUUCUCUUCGCAAAUCCCCCAUUUUAGCGAAAAUCACGCGUUUUCUCUUCGCAAAUCCCCCAUUUAAGCGAACAUCACGCGUUUUCUCUUCGCAAAUCCCCCAUUUAAGCGAAAAUCACGCGUUUUCUCUUCGCAAAUCCCCCAUUUAACCCGAAAACCACGCGUUUUCUCUUCGCAAAUCCCCCAUUUAUGCAAAAAUCACGCGUUUUCUCUUCGAGAAUCCCCCAUUUAACCAAAAAUCACGCGUUUUCUCUUUGAGAAUCCCCCAUUUAACCCGAAAAUCACGCGUUUUCUCUUUGCAAAUCCCCCAUUUAAGCAAAAAUCACGCGUUUUCUCGUCGCAAAUCCCCCAUUUAACCCGAAAAUCACGCGUUUUCUCUUUGAGAAUCCCCCAUUUAAGCGAAAAUCACGCGUUUUCUCUUCGCAAAUCCCCCAUUUAAGCGAAAAUCACGCGUAUUCGCUUCGCAAAUCCCCCAUUUAACCCAAAAAUCACGCGUUUUCUCUUCGAGAAUCCCCCAUUUAACCCGAAAAUCACACGUUUUCUCUUCGAGAAUCCCCCAUUUAACCCGAAAAUCACGCGUUUUCUCUUCGCAAAUCCCCCAUUUAAGCAAAAAUCACGCAUUUUCUCUUCGCAAAUCCCCGAUUUAACCCAAAAAUCACGCGUUUUCUCUUCGCACAUCCCCCAUUUAAUCGAAAAUCACGCGUUUUCUCUUUGCAAAUCUCCCAUUUAAGCGAAAAUCACGCGUUUUCUCUUCGCAAAUCCCCCAUUUAACCCGAAAAUCACGCGUUUUCUCUUCGCAAAUCCCCCAUUUAAGCGAAAAAUCACGCGUUUUCUCUUCGCAAAUCCCCCAUUUAAGCGAAAAUCACGCGUUUUCUCUUCGCAAAUCCCCCAUUUAAGCGAACAUCACGCGUUUUCUCUUCGCAAAUCCCCCAUUUAACCCGAAAAUCACGCGUUUUCUCUUCGCAAAUCCCCCAUUUAACCCGAAAAUCACGCGUUUUCUCUUUGCAAAUCCCCCAUUUAACCCGAAAAUCACGCGUUUUCUCGUCGCAAAUCCCCCAUUUAAGCAAAAAUCACGCGUUUUCUCUUCGCAAAUCCCCCAUUUAACCCGAAAAUCACGCGUUUUCUCUUCGCAAAUCCCCCAUUUAACCCGAAAAUCACGCGUUUUCUCUUCACAAAUCCCCCAUUUAAGCGAAAAUCACGCGUUUUCUCUUCGCAAAUCCCCCAUUUAACCCAAAAAUCACAUAUUUUCUCUUCGCAAAUCCCCCAUUUAACCCGAAAAUCACGCGUUUUCUCUUCGCAAAUCCCCCAUUUAAGCGAAAAUCACGCGUUUUCUCUUCACAAAUCCCCCAUUUAAGCAAAAAUCACGCGUUUUCUCUUCGCAAAUCCCCCAUUUAAGCGAAAAUCACGCGUUUUCUCUUCGAGAAUCCCCCAUUUAAGUGAAAAUCACGCGUUUUCUCUUCGCAAAUCCCCCAUUUAACCCGAAAAUCACGCGUUUUCUCUUCGAGAAUCCCCCAUUGAACCCGAAAAACACGCGUUUUCUCUUCGAGAAUCCCCCAUUUAAGCAAAAAUCACGCGUUUUCUCUUCGCAAAUCCCCCAUUUAACCGAAAAUCACGCGUUUUCUCUUCGCAAAUCCCCCAUUUAAGCGAAAAUCAUGCGUUUUCUCUUCGCAAAUCCCCCAUUUAAGCUGAAAAUAACGCGUUUUCUCUUCGAGAAUCCCCCAUUUAACCCAAAAAUCAUGCGUUUUCUCUUCGAGAAUCCCCCAUUUAAGCGAAAAUCACGCGUUUUCUCUUCGCAAAUCCCCCAUUUAACCCGAAAAUCACGCGUUUUCUCUUCGAGAAUUUUCCAUUUAAGGGAAAAUCACGCAUUUUCUCUUUGCAAAUCUCCCAUUUAAGCGAAAAUCACGCGUUUUCUCUUCGCAAAUCCCCCAUUUAACCCGAAAAUCACGCGUUUUCUCUUCGCAAAUCCCCCAUUUAAGCGAAAAAUCACGCGUUUUCUCUUCGCAAAUCCCCCAUUUAAGCGAAAAUCACGCGUUUUCUCUUCGCAAAUCCCCCAUUUAAGCGAACAUCACGCGUUUUCUCUUCGCAAAUCCCCCAUUUAACCCGAAAAUCACGCGUUUUCUCUUCGCAAAUCCCCCAUUUAACCCGAAAAUCAAGUGUUUUCUCUUUGCAAAUCCCCCAUUUAACCCGAAAAUCACGCGUUUUCUCUUCGCAAAUCCCCCAUUUAAACAAAAAUCACGCGUUUUCUCUUCGCAAAUCCCCCAUUUAAGCAAAAAUCACGCGUUUUCUCUUCACAAAUCCCCCAUGUUACCCGAAAAUCACGCGUUUUCUCUUCGAGAAUCCCCCAUUUAAGUGAAAAUCACGCGUUUUCUCUUCGCAAAUCCCCCAUUUAACCCGAAAAUCACGCGUUUUCUCUUCGAGAAUCCCCCAUUGAACCCGAAAAACACACGUUUUCUCUUCGCAAAUCCCCCAUUUAAGCAAAAAUCACGCGUUUUCUCUUCGCAAAUCCCCCAUUUAAGCGAAAAUCACGCGUUUUCUCUUCGCAAAUCCCCCAUUUAAGCGAAAAUCAUGCGUUUUCUCUUCGCAAAUCCCCCAUUUAUGCCGAAAAUAACGCGUUUUCUCUUCGAGAAUCCCCCAUUUAACCCAAAAAUCAUGCGUUUUCUCUUCGAGAAUCCCCCAUUUAAGCGAAAAUCACGCGUUUUCUCUUCGCAAAUCCCCCAUUUAACCCGAAAAUCACGCGUUUCCUCUUUAGAAUCCCCACUUUAACUUAAAAAUCACGCAUUUUCUCUUCGCAAAUCCCCCAUUUAAGCAAAAAUCACGCGUUUUCUCUUCGCAAAUCCCCCAUUUAACCCGAAAAUCACGCGUUUUCUCUUCGAGAAUUUUCCAUUUAAGGGAAAAUCACGCAUUUUCUCUUUGCAAAUCUCCCAUUUAAGCGAAAAUCACACGUUUUCUCUUCGCAAAUCCCCCAUUUAAGCGAAAAUCACGCGUUUUCUCUUCGCAAAUCCCCCAUUUAAGCGAAAAAUCACGCGUAUUCUCUUCGCAAAUCCCCCAUUUUAGCGAAAAUCACGCGUUUUCUCUUCGCAAAUCCCCCAUUUAAGCGAACAUCACGCGUUUUCUCUUCGCAAAUCCCCCAUUUAACCCGAAAAUCACGCGUUUUCUCUUCGCAAAUCCCCCAUUUAAGCAAAAAUCACGCGUUUUCUCGUCGCAAAUCCCCCAUUUAAGCAAAAAUCACGCGUUUUCUCUUCGCAAAUCCCCCAUGUUACCCGAAAAUCACGCGUUUUCUCUUCGAGAAUCCCCCAUUUAAGUGAAAAUCACGCGUUUUCUCUUCGCAAAUCCCCCAUUUAACCCGAAAAUCACGCGUUUUCUCUUCGAGAAUCCCCCAUUGAACCCGAAAAACACACGUUUUCUCUUCGCAAAUCCCCCAUUUAAGCAAAAAUCACGCGUUUUCUCUUCGCAAAUCCCCCAUUUAACCAAAAAUCACGCGUUUUCUCUUCGCAAAUCCCCCAUUUAAGCGAAAAUCAUGCGUUUUCUCUUCGCAAAUCCCCCAUUUAAGCCGAAAAUAACGCGUUUUCUCUUCGAGAAUCCCCCAUUUAACCCAAAAAUCAUGCGUUUUCUCUUCGAGAAUCCCCCAUUUAAGCGAAAAUCACGCGUUUUCUCUUCGCAAAUCCCCCAUUUAACCCAAAAAUCACGCGUUUCCUCUUUAGAAUCCCCACUUUAACUUAAAAAUCACGCAUUUUCUCUUCGCAAAUCCCCCAUUUAAGCAAAAAUCACGCGUUUUCUCUUCGCAAAUCCCCCAUUUAAGCAAAAAUCACGCGUUUUCUCUUCGAGAAUUUUCCAUUUAACCCGAAAAUCACGCAUUUUCUCUUUGCAAAUCUCCCAUUUAAGCGAAAAUCACACGUUUUCUCUUCGCAAAUCCCCCAUUUAAGCGAAAAAUCACGCGUUUUCUCUUCGCAAAUCCCCCAUUUUAGCGAAAAUCACGCGUUUUCUCUUCGCAAAUCCCCCAUUUAAGCGAACAUCACGCGUUUUCUCUUCGCAAAUCCCCGAUUUAACCCGAAAAUCACGCGUUUUCUCUUCGCAAAUCCCCCAUUUAACCCGAAAACCACGCGUUUUCUCUUCGCAAAUCCCCCAUUUAUGCAAAAAUCACGCGUUUUCUCUUCGAGAAUCCCCCAUUUAACCAAAAAUCACGCGUUUUCUCUUUGAGAAUCCCCCAUUUAACCCGAAAAUCACGCGUUUUCUCUUUGCAAAUCCCCCAUUUAAGCAAAAAUCACGCGUUUUCCUCGUCGCAAAUCCCCCAUUUAACCCGAAAAUCACGCGUUUUCUCUUUGAGAAUCCCCCAUUUAAGCGAAAAUCACGCGUUUUCUCUUCGCAAAUCCCCCAUUUAAGCGAAAAUCACGCGUAUUCGCUUCGCAAAUCCCCCAUUUAACCCAAAAAUCACGCGUUUUCUCUUCGAGAAUCCCCCAUUUAACCCGAAAAUCACACGUUUUCUCUUCGAGAAUCCCCCAUUGAACCCGAAAAACACACGUUUUCUCUUCGCAAAUCCCCCAUUUAAGCAAAAAUCACGCAUUUUCUCUUCGCAAAUCCCCGAUUUAACCCAAAAAUCACGCGUUUUCUCUUCGCACAUCCCCCAUUUAAUCGAAAAUCACGCGUUUUCUCUUCGCAAAUCCCCCAUUUAACCCGAAAAAUCACGCAUUUUCUAUUCGAGAAUCCUCCAUUUAAGUGAAAAUCAUGUGUUUUCUCUUCGAGAGUCCCCAUUUAAGCAAAAAUCACGCAUUUUCUCUUCGAGAAUCCUCCAUUUAAGCGAAAAUCACACAUUUUCUCUUCGAGAGUCCCCAUUUAAGCAAAAAUCACGCAUUUUCUCUUCGAGAAUCCCCCAUUUAAGCGAAAAUCACACAUUUUCUCUUCGAGAAUCCUCCAUUUAACCCGAAAUUCAUGCAUUUUCUCUUUGGAAAUCUUCCUUUUAACCUGAAAAUCACGCCUUUUCUCUUCAGGAAUCCCCCAUUUAUGCAAAAAUCACGCGUUUUCUCUUCGGGAUUCCCCCAUUUAUCCCGAAAAUCACGUGUUUUCUCUUCGUAAAUUCCCCAUUUAU